AAAGGUCCCUUCCAACUCUGAGGAUUCUGUGAUUCAAAUGCCAAGGUUACUUGUUUUUUAGAACAUAGCAAAGUCUUUCUGGAAAGGAAGUUGAACGUGUCACCAUGUAGCUGAGCAUGCUUGGCUAUCACACGGCCCCUCGCGUUCCGGAGCUACCAUUCAUCGCAGGUUUGAAGCCCGGCCGGCGCUGCUCGCUUCUGUGGCUGCGGUGAGGAGGCUCGGCGCUUCCGCCGCCGCUGCCCCUGCAGGCAGCCGGCAGUACCCGGCCGUCCCGGCCACCGGGAGGAGGAGGAGGAGGAGGAGGAACGGGACUGCCCUCCUCAGCUUCACAUGCGAUCGCCUCGGGCCGGUUCCCUCUCCCCCGCUGCCCUGUGUCCUCGCGUCCCUCUCCUCGCCUCUGGGCACGACUUCUCCGCUUUCUCCUUUCCCCGGCCACCGCCCGAUGAAUAAUUCAACAGGGUUGGUGCUCGCUGCGCGCCUGUCCUGCUCGUGGUGGUGGUGAUUCUGGGCUCAGUCUGCCCUCACCGACGGGGCUCUCGUCUGGCCGAGCAGGGAUGAGAAUGGCCGGCGCGGGAUGAAGUUUCCAGAGGGAAUCGGCGUGACAGAGGCAAGCCGCAUUCCGUGAUGGCAAAGCCAGAGGACAAAGACCAUGGGAGGCCAUGGGGAUGCUCCCAGCCCUUCACUUUCCUGCCAUUUGGGAUAUGCCUCCGUGCAAUGUGUCGCUGCAUGGGUGAGUGCCAUCUGCACGAACCUCCCUGUGCACCAGUGCGGCAAGAUCUGGUUGCCUAGGAGGAGCCGCACCUGGAAAGGCUGAGCAGAGCCUUGCUGGGAGCCCAGAGGAGGCUGUGGUCCCUCCCCGCCGCUGCCGGCUGCCUCCUUUGCCUCUGGGAGGUGGGCCCUGGUGCCAGGCCCUGCCGUGGGCUCCCCCCGGCAGGCAGUUCUCAGAGAGGAGCCGAGUGGUGCUCAGGCAGCAACCUUCCCUUGGACAGACAAGUGCGGGCAGUGCCCCGGGCGGCUUUGGCUACGCAGGAGGACACCGAGCAUGACUAACCCCGGCACGAAGGGGUCAUUCCUCUCACAGCCGAUGGUGAAGAGCGUGCUGGUGUAUCGCAAUGGGGAUCCUUUCUUCCCGGGGCGCCGCAUUGUCAUCAAUGAGAAGAAAGUGUCCAACUUUGAGGUCUUCCUGAAAGAGGUGACUGGCGGGCUGAAGGCACCCUUUGGAGCUGUACGUAACAUCUACACGCCCCGGGCUGGGCACCGUGUCCGGCAGCUGGAGGAGCUGCAGAGCGGAGAGCAGUAUGUGGCUGGUGGCAGGGAAGCCUUCAAGAAACUGAACUAUUUGGACAUAGGAGAAACAAAGAAAAAACCUGCUGAAGUCAAUAAUGAGAUGCAGCUUAUUCAGAAUGGUUUCCAUAGAACAACUGUUUUUAAUGUCAAGCCAGUUACUCACAGUAGAAUCACUGUGUCAGCACGGUUUCGAAAACCCCUCCAGGAGCCCUACACGAUUUUCCUGAUUGCUAAUGGAGACCUUAUUAGCCCAAUAGUGCGACUCCUUAUUCCCAGGAAAACAUUGAAUCACUGGGACCACAUUCUUGAAAUGGUUACAGCAAAAGUUUCCCUCAGAAGUGGAGCUGUUCACAGACUUUACACUUUAGAUGGAAAACUUGUUCAGAAUGGGUCAGACUUGGAGAAAGGACAAUUUUAUGUUGCAGUGGGUAGAGAAAAGUUUAAGAAGUUACCAUAUGGUGAACUGCUGUUCAGCAAAUCUACAAUAAGGCCACAAGGUUCUAAAGCAUCCGUGCUACCUCCAAUUGUGGGAUCUCGAAAAUCUAAAGGCAGUGGAAAUGAUCGGCAGUCUAAAUCUACUGUUGGAUCCAGUGCCCCUGGGGAGAACAGCUCCUCACCUCAGCCUCCAAAAGAGAAGGCCAAAAAAUGCCAUAAUCCAGAGGAUUCUGUGUCCAGAGGACAUAGUUCUAACAAAUCUACAGAAGUAAAACAAACACCUUCCACAUCAUUUCUUCAAGAUAAUGGUGAAGGGAUUUAUGAAGCUAGAGAAAAGCGAUCUGAAAUGUGGGGGGCAGCUGAAGUUCAAGAAGAUGAAGACACUCGUGUAGAAGUUCCAUUGGACCAGAGGCCAGCAGAAACUGUAGAUGAAGAAGAAAACGCAGAAGAGGAAGAUGACAGGGGAGAGGAGGAAGCAUAUAAACAAAAGGGAGAACAUCCAGAAGUGAAUGGAGAGGAAAGUGGGGAAGUUGUUAUGAAAAGGAAUAGAGAAAAUGAGAAUAAAUUAAAUGGGAAUUAUGAACACAAAACAGAAGAAACAGAAAAUGUUGACCAGGCAGAGAAAGAGGAGCUUGCCCACUUAAAUGGCAAGAUAAAUGAAGAAAAUGGUGAGGGGAUGGAGCAGAUGAACAGCCAAGAUGAUCUUCAGCAUGAAGAGGACAUAAAAGAGGAUUAUUCUGGCAGUCAGAACCAGGCAAGCUGAAGUUAUUAAUGGCAAUGGAGAAAGUGAGUGAGCAUUCACUUUAGAAGGAUAUGUGGGUAACUGGAUGUUUGAUGAUUUGAGGGGAAAAACCUCUAAUUUGAGUACUUUCUCCUUUGGAAGGUUGAUUCUCAUCUUGAAAAAACAUCCAGAAAUCCAAGGGUAACAAUCACUAGCCCACAGGAAAGUGAAAGAAAGGACCAGAGCAAUGACUACGCUGCAGUUGCAUAGAUAUAAGAAAAUGUAAUUAAUGAAAAAAGAAAUAUUAUAAUACUUUCAAGCAUAUUAUCUUUUGUGAUUUAAAACUUAAAAUAGGAAGAUAGAUUGAGUACCCCAUACUGAAUGUUGAGAUGAUAAUGGCAUAUAGAAUAGGACAUAAAGUUUAAUAUCUACUAAACAACAUUGAAUUAUUUUCACAAGAUGUGACUUUCUGAUAGAAUUUGAGAGGAAAAAAUGUAAUAUUACUGUAUAGUAGUGUUAGAAACAUUAGAAAUAAAGUAUUUUGUGGUAUAAGACGAUUAUCAGUAGCAGAGUCAACUAUAUAAAUGACAUUUUUCAAGAAAAAGGGUAAAUAAACAAGUUAAAUGUCAGAACUUCUUUGCAGGUUUGUUUAGAAAAGAGAAAACAAAUGUGACUUUUAAGGAGGACAUAAGUAGUUUUUCCCAUUGAAAUUCCACAUGAUAUACUCUAUUUCCAGGCAUAACUUUAAGAUAGAAAGAAAAUGCUUUGCUCACUUAAAGGACAGAAAAUGAGAUGUACUAUGAGUCCUAAUAUUACUGGAUAGUGGCUUUUCCGUAUAUUAAUUGGAAUUGUUCGUUUUUUCCAUUCUUAAAUAGCACUUCUUAAUCAUUGUGAAGAGAGGCUGAAAGCCUACAAUGCUGCAGCUUAUUCCCACUUGCAACAAUAAGUUUUGUUGAUUGUCCUGCACCAGUUCACUAAGCAGUGAAUUGUUAUUAUAGUGAAAAAAGAAUAAAGCAAGGGCAUGCAGCAGAUCAGAUAUGUAGCAGAUCAAUUUGAUUGCAUUUCAGUCCAAGUGAAACCUAAUUUAUUAAUGAAAAAAAUGAUGAGGCCCAGAUUCAGACUGAAAUUAGCAUGAAAUCAUUGCUAUCAAUGAAACCAUUUUAAUAUGAAACACCUUAAUAUAAGAUUAUCAGUUUAAUGUAAAAUUCAGCAACUGUUGUUGUGUUUAUGAAUCCCUUCCAUAGCCUUAAUGCAUGAAAACAUAUUAUCAUCUUUUUGAGUAAGCAGUUUCCUGAUAGGUUGUGGCUUAAUUUGCGUUAGAAAAUAAGGCACUGAUCCCCAGUAUUUGUUCUCUCAAUGACAUCAACCCCAUUCCUCUUACCAUUUCUCUGUUAGUAAUAGCAAUUAUUUGUAGAUCAUGAAAUACAGCCCUGAGCAUAAUUUCAUUAAUUAUACAAAAGAUAUAGUGGAUUUCUUUAUCAUUAAUGCUGGUAAAUUACGACGAAGAGAAAUUAAAUGUCAUUUUUGUUGAUUUCAUGCUAUUAAGACCAAAAUUACAUUCAGGAACAAAUUGAACUUGAAGCACUGUAUGAAGGAAGUGUAGAAAAAUUAUUGUGACUGAAACUCAUAGAAAUAUCUGCAUUUUUUUACCAACUAUUAAAUACAUUUUUCCAGUGCAGAAGAAAUAUGUAGAGAUCCUUUAGCAUGUUCCUGAGUAUUGGCAAUGUGAGUUUAAAAUAACGUAACUUUAAAUAACACAGGAACAAGGUUAGAAUGGUUUGCUCUACUGUAACUCUGAAAUAUCUUUGAUUUACAUGGCCUUUUUUGAACUGUCUGACAAAGUAGAGAAAUAUUACCUAUGUAUUCUGUUCAAAAUAAGAUCCUAAUUUAGCCAAGAAUUAGGCAAUUAUUUUAUUUGAUGCAUUUUAAGAUGAUUUUUGAAGAUAAGUGGAACUAAAAUCUACCAACGACAAAAUAAAGCCAAAACAGUAUGGAUAAAAUAACUGCAAGUGUUAAUGAGGAAAAUGACAAAUUGUAAUCCUCUGGGUACCUUUAUAGGUAAUCUUGCAUUGGAAUUAUAUAUGCGGUAGCAUUAAAAGCAAUCAAACCAUGCUUAACUAGCCAGACCAGGAAGCUCUGUCUCAGAGUACCUUCUGAAACUUCUUGUAGAGCUCGCCAAGGAAAAUGGCUAGUGCUCCAUCUUCACUUCUUUAGAGCUGAAUAGCUCAACAAUAAGCAUGGUCUUAAGUGUGCUUAAGAAUUGAGACAAAUGACAGUGGUCUUGUAUUGACACUACUGUGAAGAGUUGCUUGAAGUUAGUGGUGUACCCAAAUUCAGGACUCUACUUCUUGUCAUCUUAGCGCAGGUGAAGGCCUGAGCAACCUCAGAGAUGAUCUUCAUCCUCAGAAAUCUGAAAUUAAAUUGGCAACCAAACAUGUCUGAUAAAUUAAUCUAGAGAACGUUUUCCUCAAAAUGUUGUACUUUGAAAAAAUAUUUAGAAGAAACAGUUUUGUAUAGAGAUUCUCUGUUUUCUAUUCAUAACUUCUGUCUGCUGUUUCUGUCAUUUCUUCCCUUUUCUGUCCAAGUUCAGCAUCCUCAGUGCUUAAAGGCCUACAAAUAUCAGUAAGAGUUAUCUAAAAGCUUAAAGUAAAUUCUAAGGAACUGUAAUGUGAUACUUGUCUUUCACGAGAACAUGAAAAUCCCAGUGAGUGUUACUCAGCCUUUAAAAUGUUUUCCUCUCUGCUGUUCAUCUUGUAAGAGAGAUUGAAUAUUGUUCUUCAGAAUAUGAAACUGGACUUUGGGAAAACAGAGAGAGAGCCAUUUCAUCAUUCACUCUCACAGUACUGAAAACAUCUACUUUCUAUCUGCUUCUCUUGUACAGAGAAAAUUAAUUUAUGCAUAACAAAUAGUUCUGAUGUUAACAGAAAUUAAUCAAGAAGCAUAUGUGUGGUCUUUGCUAAAAAUAUUUUUGUGUAUGUUAAUUUGCUGUGAUGACUUAAAUUGGUUUUACAUGAGAAAUGUUCUUUUUUCCUUAAGCUUAUAGAGUGUUACUUUAUUAAGCGUCUAUGCAAUAUAUAUAUAUUUUAAGAUAUUUCCCUUUUUUUUGCAUUAUUUUUAAAAACAGUUUGCCAUUAAAAAAGAACUAGCACACAGACAGUUCUGCUUUUAUCUCAAAUCAAGGCCAGUUUGACAUUAAUUUUAGCUUUGGAUGACUGAUGUUAUGAAUAAACCUAGUGUUUUUUUCAGCUGUUAGGAUCCUUCCAUCACUAGAACUUCCAAAAAGUCAGAUUUUGUAGUUACGGUAUUGCAACCAUGAAAGAAAGCAUGCUUAUGUUCAGCUCUUAUUAUAGCCCACAAAUAAAAGAAUUAAUUCCUAAUUUCAGCAAACCUCUACAGCACAUACUUAAAUCCCACAAAUAUGCAGUUUUCAUCAAAUUUUAUUUAAUGCUUCUGUGAUCUGACGUAUCAGAGACAAAAUAAUGUUAAUUUCUGGAAAGAAAAGGGUGAAAAUGAAGAAGAUUAACUCCUCUCUCUGUCUCAGUUUCAUCCAAAUCUGCAUGCAGAAAAAUAAAACAACAACAUGUAAGUGUUACUUGAAAAUACUGAGAAAAGGAGAGUUGCAUGGGUAUUUUGAUUAAUUAUUCCAAAGGUACAUUAAAAUAACUAUUAGAUAAUAAAUGCAAAUACAAAAUGAAAUAUCUCAAGGAAAAAUCUAUUCAUUAAAUUGUGACAAUCAGAAUGAUUGUAUGAGAUACAGCUCAAGGAUGUUUUGGGUGGCUCAUAGUUUUCAGUCUGAAUUUUAGUCGAAAGAAGUGCUUUAGACAUGGCAAUAGACAGGUAAGCCACCUGAUAUGAUACAGAAUACUGAUACAGUAUUCUUCAUGGACACAUUUGCAAGCAUUAACUUAUAUAAACACUGUAACUGAAUGCAUUUGUUUGUACUCAUGCUGCACAUGCAACUAACCCGUGUAUAUGGUAGUCUAGCAGUGUUCUAUUUUAAUAAUGGGAGAAAUACUAUUGAUUGUCAGUGAAAUUUACUAUAACCUUGGGGAAAAAAAAUCACAAAAUCUAGCAAUAGCAAACCUUAUGAAAGGAUGGUAUUUUGUUUAAGUUAUGUACGUACUUUUGUUCUUUGCUGAGCCAAGUUCAGAAUGCUUAAAACACUGAAGUGAAAUGGAAACAGCAACCUAAAACUGCCUGGGAAGAAUUUUGGUCAUAAGAAAGUGGAAAGGAUAUGGAAAAUUCAAGUAAGAAAGUAAGUAUCUUUACUGCAGCAUGUGACAGCAAAGCUUUCAAAGGUCUUUAGUCCUAGGCUGCUGCAUAGAGGACUUCUGCCUUAAACAAUGGGAUAUUUUGAUACAGCAGGCAGACAUCCAACAAUCUAUGCAGUAACUAUGAGUACCUUUAAAUGUUCAUAUUUUCCUUGCAGAUGACACUUAGUUCUAAUACUUACAAUUUAAUAAAUUAAACUAAACACA